GUGAAAUUGUUGAAAGGGAAACGAUUGAAGUCAGUCAUGCCGGCGGGAAUCAACUUAGGGGAAACUUUAAGUGCACUUCACGUUUGGCAGGUCAGCAUCGAUUUUGGAUGUCAUAAAAUGAUUGGGGGAAGGUAGCUCCUUCGGGAGUGUUAAGCCCUUGGUAGAUGUGAUGUCCGGGAUCGAGGAUUGCAACGGAUACCUUUUAGGCUAGCCGCCUAGUCUCUAUUACGAAGUUGGGUUAUGGACAGCACGCUGACUGUGAUCUGAUUUUCGGUUAAAAGAUUAGAGCAGUGUAAAUUCGUUAAGGACGCUGACGUAAUGGCUUUAAACGAC
rnacentral:rRNA from 1 species